rnacentral:rRNA from 1 species
GAUGAACGCUAGCGGCAGGCCUAAUACAUGCAAGUCGAACGGGAUCCAGAUCAAAGCUUGCUUUGGUCUGGUGAGAGUGGCGCACGGGUGCGUAACGCGUGAGCAACCUACCCUUGUCAGGGGGAUAGCCCGGCGAAAGUCGGAUUAAUACCGCAUGACAUCAUUGAGAGGCAUCUUUCGAUGAUCAAAGAUUUAUCGGACAAGGAUGGGCUCGCGUGACAUUAGCUAGUUGGUAAGGUAACGGCUUACCAAGGCUGCGAUGUCUAGGGGCUCUGAGAGGAGAAUCCCCCACACUGGUACUAAGACACGGACCAGACUCCUACGGGAGGCAGCAGUAAGGAAUAUUGGUCAAUGGACGGAAGUCUGAACCAGCCAUGCCGCGUGCAGGAAGACGGCCCUAUGGGUUGUAAACUGCUUUUAUACGGGAACAAACGUCGGUACGUGUACCGGUCUGAGUGUACCGUAAGAAUAAGGAUCGGCUAACUCCGUG